rnacentral:lncRNA from 1 species
GGGUUUCGUCAAAUGGAUGGAGGUGGAAAAGAAUACUGAAAACAUGGGAAAGAUGUUCCGUUGUUGUACUCGAGACUGCAGGUAUUUCAAGUGGACUAAUCUUUUGCCCGCCGAAGAAUAUCAGUUGCAUAUUGAAGGUGAAUCAAGUGGUGUCCCGAAACCUAAAGAUCGGUUCGAUGAUUUGUCGCAUAUGUUCAAAGAAUUGACUAAAGUAUCUAAUAAUGAAGAUGACUUGGAGAUUUCGUUCAGCAUAACUAUUCGCAAGGGAAAACGAGUUUUGGAAGGCAACGACAAUUGAAGGAAAGCUACCGUGUAAUGUUAGUGUAGGACUGUGUAUGAUGUAGUUGUUUAUGGAUGUAAUUUGCAAGUUGAUGGUUAUGUG